GAAGCGAUGGCAAUCAAAAGAGACCUUUUUGCAAAUUACUGUUGUGGGAAGUGAUUAUAGGCGCAAUUCAUAACAAGAGACCUAAUGUAUUUGUUACGGAUUUAUCAUUAUACAUAGGACAAUGGUUAAAGAAGGCUCUGUAUCAAAAACAAGAUGAUGAAAGUUUUGGAAGACGUGAUAAAUGUUCAAAGAAACAGAUAAGCAUUUCUAAUUAUAUUUUGUUUGGCAAAUACACAUAUGCAUUUAUAUUUUCACUCAACAUUUUAUUCACAUAUUAAAGUAAUAUAUUACAGUAAUAAAUAGCAUUUCGAUAUUA